UGUGAUCUCUGAAAGAAAAAAAGAGAAACUAAACUGAACAACUAUUAUAAAAUUUGCUUACUCAGUGAUUCUCUAAUGAAUACCUAAAUGAUUCCAUGUUUUCUGGCUUGAAAUAAGGGCUAUGGCCGCUGGAGGACCCAUGCUGGAGCAGUCUGUUCCUGAUGGAUUACACCCCAUGGAGAGGACCAUGCUGGAGCAGUUAUGGAAGAACUGAAGCCUGUUGGAAGGAUCCAUGUUGGAUCAGUUCAUGAACGACUUUUAUUUUGUGGGUAGGACUCCAUGCUGGAACCCAGGAACAGCAUGAAGAGAAAGGAGCAGCAGAAUCAAAGUGUUAUGAACUUGCUACAGCCUCCAUUCCCCAUCCCCCUGCACCACUCAGGUAGGGAAGGGGGAGGCAGAAGAGCUGGGAAC